rnacentral:rRNA from 1 species
AUUGAACAUAAGAGUUUGAUCCUGGCUCAGAUUGAACGCUGGCGGCAUGCUUUACACAUGCAAGUCGGACGGCAGCACAGGGAAGCUUGCUUCUCGGGUGGCGAGUGGCGAACGGGUGAGUAACAUAUCGGAACGUACCGGGUAGCGGGGGAUAACUGAUCGAAAGAUCAGCUAAUACCGCAUACGUCUUGAGAGGGAAAGCAGGGGACCUUCGGGCCUUGCGCUAUCCGAGCGGCCGAUAUCUGAUUAGCUGGUUGGCGGGGUAAAGGCCCACCAAGGCGACGAUCAGUAGCGGGUCUGAGAGGAUGAUCCGCCACACUGGGACUGAGACACGGCCCAGACUCCUACGGGAGGCAGCAGUGGGGAAUUUUGGACAAUGGGCGCAAGCCUGAUCCAGCCAUGCCGCGUGUCUGAAGAAGGCCUUCGGGUUGUAAAGGACUUUUGUCAGGGAAGAAAAGGCCGUUGCCAAUAUCGGCGGCCGAUGACGGUACCUGAAGAAUAAGCACCGGCUAACUACGUGCCAGCAGCCGCGGUAAUACGUAGGGUGCGAGCGUUAAUCGGAAUUACUGGGCGUAAAGCGGGCGCAGACGGUUACUUAAGCAGGAUGUGAAAUCCCCGGGUUCAACCCGGGAACUGCGUUCUGAACUGGGUGACUCGAGUGUGUCAGAGGGAGGUGGAAUUCCACGUGUAGCAGUGAAAUGCGUAGAGAUGUGGAGGAAUACCGAUGGCGAAGGCAGCCUCCUGGGAUAACACUGACGUUCAUGUCCGAAAGCGUGGGUAGCAAACAGGAUUAGAUACCCUGGUAGUCCACGCCCUAAACGAUGUCAAUUAGCUGUUGGGCAACUUGAUUGCUUGGUAGCGUAGCUAACGCGUGAAAUUGACCGCCUGGGGAGUACGGUCGCAAGAUUAAAACUCAAAGGAAUUGACGGGGACCCGCACAAGCGGUGGAUGAUGUGGAUUAAUUCGAUGCAACGCGAAGAACCUUACCUGGUUUUGACAUGUGCGGAAUCCUCCGGAGACGGAGGAGUGCCUUCGGGAGCCGUAACACAGGUGCUGCAUGGCUGUCGUCAGCUCGUGUCGUGAGAUGUUGGGUUAAGUCCCGCAACGAGCGCAACCCUUGUCAUUAGUUGCCAUCAUUCGGUUGGGCACUCUAAUGAGACUGCCGGUGACAAGCCGGAGGAAGGUGGGGAUGACGUCAAGUCCUCAUGGCCCUUAUGACCAGGGCUUCACACGUCAUACAAUGGUCGGUACAGAGGGUAGCCAAGCCGCGAGGCGGAGCCAAUCUCACAAAACCGAUCGUAGUCCGGAUUGCACUCUGCAACUCGAGUGCAUGAAGUCGGAAUCGCUAGUAAUCGCAGGUCAGCAUACUGCGGUGAAUACGUUCCCGGGUCUUGUACACACCGCCCGUCACACCAUGGGAGUGGGGGAUACCAGAAGUAGGUAGGGUAACCGCAAGGAGCCCGCUUACCACGGUAUGCUUCAUGACUGGGGUGAAGUCGUAACAAGGUAGCCGUAGGGGAACCUGCGGCUGGAUCACCUCCUUUCUAG